AUCGCCGAAGUUCAGCUCUGCACCUCCCGGGUUUUGACUGAGACAAAUAGCGUCCCGUGGAGGGGAGAGCACGCUCGGGGUCACGCAGGACUGCAACGGAGUUUCCCAGAUGGAACUUCGCAGCUGCGUGACCCUGCGUGUGUCACUUGGCCUCUGCUGGUCUCAGUUUCCUCGUCCAUAAAAUAGCCGUGCAGACGAGAGGAGUGCCCGGGUCCUUCCCGGCUUCCCAACUGCACUAUUUUCUGCCUGGGAAGCAGACGCCGGGGCAGCAGCAGGCGCUGAGCUAUUCCUGGGGCUCUCAGGCCUAGAGGAGGGCUAAGGGGAGGGGGGAGAGAAGGAGCGGCAGCCGGCCCCGAGGCCCGCUUCACCCCCAAGCCACCCUUCCGAGAUUAGGAGCAGUCCGGGUCCUUAGGCUGCAGCCGAGCCAAUCACGGCUUCAAAAGCCUCCGCGGUUCUCAGUUGUCCCGGGCGGGGGUGUGCCUCGGCGCGGCCCUCCAGGGCCUGCGGCUCUUCUCUCCGAGUCCUUUCAGGGUCCUCUAUUCUAUUUGUUCGCACCCCAAGCUCCUGCUGGAAGCCGAGCGCCCCCUCUUCCAGGAGCUGAUUCCCGAGCUCGGCCAUGAUUCAUUUGCUUAGACUUCAUGUGCGCGUCGUCGCGUUAUUCCUAGCCUCAGUUUACCGGAACGGCAGCCUGGCCCCAGGGGUCGAAGUGUCACACCGGUUGUAGCGGUCGGUGGGGCUCAGCGAACCCCCGGCGACCUCUCCGGCUCCCCCUCCCCCGCCCCCGUCAGUCCCAGGGCCUUUCCACCUGCUCUCGACAUCCUAGAGCCCAGCGGGCCACGGCCACGGCUGGCUCUCGCCGCGGUACCCGCGGAGCGCGAGCCUCGCACGCAGCGGGGCGGUUCCCAAACGGGCGCUUAAUGGGACCCAGCCAAAAGCCCAGUUCGGAAUUCGCCUUCUCCGGAGUGGGCUUAGUCAUUUAAUUGUCAUUAUAAUUUGAUCUCUUGACUUGAAUCAGGUCCAGGCGUUUCCUUUUCUCUAAUGGAGAGAGACCCAGCGGUUUCUCCCGGCCCCCACCCCACCCCACCCCCAUCCUCGCGGCCAGUUAAGGGGAGCUCUGGGAGUUCGAGCCUUUGGCUCAGGUGCCUCCCCCCCCCCCCAUCGGCCCUUUGGCUCGCCUUUCUGGUUGGGGGGAGGGCAGAGAAAGCUGGGAAGAGAGGAGGAAGAGGUGGUUGGGUGGUCGGUGUUUCCGUCAUAAGGGGGCUCAUGAGCAAUGAGGGAGCCUGGGGUGACCUGAGCGACUGCUGCCCCUCUCCUUUACCGGGAAGGAGGCCCGCCUUCAGCGGCGCUCGCGGGGCUCUGGCCGACCAAGGCUCCCCUGAGCAGAAGCCGGCCUCUGAGACCAGUGGUCGGGGCCCGGGGCGGGGGCGGGGGAGGGGGAGAGGCAAGGAGAGGGGCGGAGAGGGAAGGAGGAGGAGGAGGAGGAGGGUGGGGACUCGGGCUCAGCCUAAGAAAGACGUUCCUAACGGUCCCAGCUGCCCUCCAGUAGAGACUGCCUCUUCAGGUAGUGAGCUCCCCAGCACCAGAAACUAGAUCGCUGCGUUGAGAGCCUUCUGGUUUUCUAAGAGCCACCUCUGUGGGACCGCUCCGCGAGGGCACUUGGGCGCUGGCAAAAUUUCCUCAGCAGGACGUCCGGGCCUUACCGGAGCGCUGAAGAACCGAACCGAACCGAACCGGGCUGAACCCAGAGGCCUGGGGUACUCUCCUAGGGCCCCCGCUUCCAAGGGGGAUUAACCUCUUAAGGACCAUUCUCUCAGCUGGGCUCGAAACUCCUGUUCCUCCUUUCCCCACCUUGUCCAUUGAAGAACCUGAGCUUCCCUCAGGUGUACUUGAGCUCUAAUGCUGAUCUAGACUAAUUAAAACAAAAAAGCUAAUGAGCUUAGUCUGUAAUGACGGCUUAGAAGUCACCACUAUUUAUCACUGUUAUUAUCUUGAUGGAGGUUGCUGCUCAUUGCAAUAGCAGCCAAAUCCAGACACAUGGUGCAGAGGGGAAGGAAUGAACCUCAGGACCAAAGGGAACAAAAUGGUUACUGGCCUGGGGGAGUUCUUGUGCACAUUCAGAACUUGGGAACAAAUGGAAGGGAGAGGCUCCCUUAAGAUUCUUUCUGGUUCUUUGAGUCUGCCGAUGAUCUCGAGGUUCACGACACAGAACGCUGCUUUCCUAAAGAGCCCACACAUGCCCACGGGAAGUGAAGUGUGACAAAUGGAUCCGAGUUCUGGACGGGCCGGGACCCUGUGCUCCCGAGCUCUAGCACACCUGGCAUGGGCCUUCCCAAACGGAUCGCCCACUUGCAUUCAGACCCUCUGUGCCCAGCUCCCGAAACCCCUCUCCUUCACUCCCCCGGCUUGGUGAUGCUACGAUGAGUCCGGACCGAACCCGACCAAACCGGGUCCCCACAGCUCCCUGCUUCCCCUCAUUCCCCUUUCUGCUCCCUUCUGUUUAUUUCUGGAGUGAUUCAUUGCCCCUCUUUUCCCUAGUGCUCUCCUACUAUCUCCCUCCUUAUCUGAGAUGCCAACUGCCUGUUAGCCCUGCUCGUUCUGUCCUUUCCAGUACAAAGAACAUUCUCCUUGGCAGAGAAAGCAGAAGCAGAAGAAGGGCGUCAUCACUGAGCCUGGUCUGGGGUGCCAGGGCUCCCUCCUCCACAUGCCCCACCCUCACAUGCCCCCUCCCCACAAAAAGCCUCUCCUUCCUUCCUUAUUUUUUUUCUCCUUUUAUAACUUGGCUUUUCCUUACCGGCCUCAACCUAUUCAAGGGUCUUGGCCCACCUGAAGUGAUCCUUCCGGAACUGGGCCACAGUUUUGCCCUCCAAGCUUCGCUGUUGCCUGCCCCCCUUCCAUGUUCUAUGGGGCUCUUUAAAGUUCCUUUCCUCUUCCUUGGAUUUGCUUUAUUUCUGCAGAGCUUUCCACUCCUCCUGGGUUGACUUCCCCUGUUGAACUGGAGGCCGAGAGAUCUGGCCUCCUCAUCUUCUGGACUCUUUGAAAUCUGCCUUUUGAACUCUUCCAGGGUCGGUCUAUAUGCACCCCCCCUUCUCCAGUGCAAGUUCAAAGACAUAAGGGGUCCUUCUCCCAAGCUGCUCCAUCAUUCCCACCCCAGAGUCUACAAGAGAAUUGCCCUCUGUUGGUUUCUACACCUUUUCAAGGAUUAAUUCUCAUUGACAAGUCAAAACAAUUGCUAGAGAGAAAAAAAGAGAAGCUGGGAAAAUGAGGGAAGAAGGGAGAAGAGAGCCAGAUUAGCUGGAAGAGCCCAAUGGGUUUCACUUGGAGUCAAAGCCUCCCCUCUGUGAUGGACCGCCCGCUUCUCUCCAUGGGCCUCAGUAGGCCGCCUACUUCUCUCUGUGGGCCUCAUCUUCCCCCAUCCAGAAGGGGCAGCUUGGAGCAUAUCGGUUCUGAGCUAGGAUUUCACAUCACAUCUCCUUCCCAAGCUCCUUCUCCGUUUCCUUGGCUCCUCGUGGAUUUCCUCUUGGGCCUCGUGGCCCGGGUAUGGGGGCGCUUCUCUCUCGGCUGCCAUGACCUUUCAUUCCAGUCCCUGUGGUCCUUGCUUCCUUCACAGAGCGGGACUCUCUCCUUGCCUCUUCUUUCCCCGUUGUCAUUAUUCACACUAAUUCCGGAGCCAUUCUUGAGUCACCCCAAGUCCCCGGGCCCAUUCUAACCAGCUGGGAGUGGUAUCUGAGGUCAAAUCACCUUUCACAUGCCGGGAUCUCAAUAUCGCUUUGCCUCCGGCCCACCCUUUGUGAACUUCUGUGUAGACCCUCGGAGGCUCUGGGGCUUGUUGCUGCCUCCUUUCUGUGACUUUCUGGGUGUAUCUCUCCUGCUAUUUUCCUUCCUGCAGUGUAGCGACUGUCUGUCUAGGAUGGUGGAGGUACAGAAACCGAGUUUUGUCUUUCCUUUCUUUUUUCUUUUUUAGUUGCAAACCCUUUUGCUUUGAUUUGCAACCCUCCAGAAAGCCGACACAUUUGUUAAGGGGCUGCUAAGUGCCGGGCCCCAAGUGAAGUGCUUGGGGUUACUAAGCAAGGCAAAAACAUGGUCCUCGCCCUCAAGGACUUCACGAUCUAAUUGGGGAGACGACGUGUUUCCGACUAUGGCCGUGUGAGGGAUGCACUAGCUCUUGUGUACUUGGGUAUGUUAGGUAUACUCCAUCCCCGGCCACGCUCUUGGUGCUAACACCCUGAGCUGAGGCUCAGAAAGCCAAAUGGUAUUAUUAGAUGCCUUUUUUUGCUUUGAUACAAUCUUGCACUCUGGGGAGAAAUCUGCCAGGCAGAGCAGGAGGAAGGAAGGCUGGCAGGGAGAAAGGACCAACCCAGCUGUGUGACUUCUCUGUGAAGUGGGGAUAGUAAAGACAUCUAUCUACCCUCCAGGAUUCAAGUUUUCAAAGUGCUCUGCAGAGCUAAGAGGCAACAAAAUAUCAGCCAUUGACGUUCUUUCCUACGGCGACCUCGAGAGGAGGGGUCAGCUGUGGUGUAAGCCGGGGGAUGAGCCCAAAUUGUAAUUUGUGAGCCUUCUCACAGAUUCUCCAAGUAGAGGGCAGGUCACCUGUGCGAGUGGUGUGGAGCCAUGAGGGGGAGCAAACGGACAUUGGUAAUGGGGCGAAGUGAGGACGUAACCUCUGAAGGUGGAAAAAGACGAGCAGGAUACCGGGGGGGCCUUGAUCUCAAGCUAGUGUUACUCAAACGUCCCGCCACCAACCCAUGGCUAACGUGGCACCCCUUUCCCCAAUUACUGCCCCCACUUGGGUGGUCUCCUAGGCCUAUUCUGAUAGUAUAACUGAGGAGUGGGUCUCACUGGCAAGUGGAGGAGCCAGAAGCCCAGAAUGCCAAUCGCAACUCUGGACUCGGUAGCUGUGUCAUCUCUGGUUAGUCAUUUCCUCUCCCUUUAGCUCCAGAGCUGGGAUUGCUCCUGUGAUAGAUGUCCUGAGAUGGGGAGUGACUGGAACUUGGCCCUUUGUGCAGUAGAGGCAGAAGGGAAGGCAAGGCAGAACGUUGGCCCAGGGGACCUUUAAAUAGAGAUUUUGGAUAAAUAUCCCCUGAGUUGGGCGACCUCUCCGGGCCUCUGUGAUUUCACUGGGGUAGGGAACUCCGGAAGAAGAAACGACAUCUCCAGAUUUAGACUAGCAACUGUUGGGGAUCUUCUAGAGUGACCGGCAGGCACAGAAACAUAGGUGGCAGAGGUGGGCCUGGAAGCCUGGCCUCCUCGUAUUCCCCCCAGCUAGCUUAGGGCCUGAUACACGUGUGCAGGGAUUCAUCGGCUGAUUGCUGACCUGUAGGGUGUCGUGCCGCCCGUGGUUAUCGGAGCACCUGGGCCUCCGAGAAGCCGGCUGGCUUUGCGGGUGCGGGUGCGGGUUUGCACAAAGGUGGGAUUUCCUUUGCUCAUCGAAGCCAGAGACACUGUAAACUUGGAGAGGGCUGCUGGGACCAGGUGGCCUUGGAGAUCGAUCCCCCGCCUUCAGCCGCCCGGGCCAUGACAUCAUCUCCUUUUAUUCCACCCACCACAUGGCAAGGAGGUCAGGUUCCCUUAUUUGAGCAGCUUGUCGCUGCUGUCGGCCUGUGCCCCAAACAAGGCCCGGGCAGGGCUUCUAAUUCAAGGCUGAAAAGGCAGGCUGUUCUUGUGUCUGGCCCAGAGGCAGGGAAAGAGGUGGGCCUGCAGAAGGGGCCGACUAGCGUCCUUCCUGCAGCAGCCAAGCCCUCCUCUGGCUCAACAAGAUACACCCGUUGCCCUAAGUGGGGACGGAUGCCCAGGGCUGGUUCAUUCAGGAAAUUGUGCUGGAAGCCGAGAUCUGAAGACCAGCUAGUCCAAUCCCUUCCCCCUUGUACAAGAAGGUCACUUUGCCACCUUGGGCCUCAGUUUCCCCACCUACAAAAUGGUUAGAGAGCUAGUUGGAGUCUGUAAAAGGCUUUGCAAACCUUCAAGUGUUCUGGAAAUGUGAACGGUUCAUUCGGGUUACGUGGUGUUAUUUCUUGAACCCACAAUCCUCCCCCAUGGCCUCCUGGGGGUGUGGCAGUGGCCUUGUUUUUAGGCUUUCUUGUUGUUCUUUUGUUGAUAUCUGUGACAUUGUAUCUGUUCCCAACUGUCUCUUGUAACAAAGAAGUCCGAGAUGAAGAACUAGGUCAGGGACUCCCACUUCUUCAUCUUCACUGGGCACGUUCUUGGUGUUUGGGAGUCUGGCCACGUGGCUUCCCUUUCCCCCGCCGGCCAGUUCCGGUGGCGCUGCUCCCUUCACUCUGCGUCAGUUCGUCAGAGUCCUCCCAAGCCGCUUACUGCUCAGAGUGCCGUCCUGUGGCGCUCCCUUCACAUGGUGGACUUUGUGGCUAUUUGAUGAGCGCACGCCCCUAGGAGACCACUGCCAGGCUGCCCCUCCCGUAGCCCGCCACAAGUUGAUGAGGGCACUGGGCUACGUGACUCUAUGAAACAGGGUUCUGGUUCCAAGAGAUGAGCUCUCUCUGGUCUGUCCAAAACUGAGUAUAAAAGGGGGACAGAACUGUCCACAGUUCAAACUGAGUAUAAAAGUUACACGGCUAGACGCCUCCACUUCUCCAACAGAAAUGAAUGGGAACAAAAGUCCCGAAGGAACCCGUGUGGCCCCUUCAGGGAUCCCACUGCCACCCGCAGAGUCCCCUUCCCCUGCGGUAACCCCCUUCAGCCUGCGCACACAGGGCCCAUUGGUGGCCAGCAUGCAGCUGCAGAAGCUUAACAGUCAGUACCAGGGGGUGCCUAGCACCGAGCCCCAAGACGAGGAAAUGGCCUUGCCCUCGUGGCCGAUGGAGGGGGACGAGCCCGUGGAGUCAGAGACGGCCUCUAUCGAGGCCUUCAACAACCUCUUCGAUUUUGACCCCAUAGACGAGGAGUUGCUCAUGUCCCUGGUGAUGGAGCUGGGCUUGGACCAAGCUGGUGAGCUACCCGAGCUCUGGCUGGACCAAGAUGACCUUGACUUGUCCACCGACCUGCCCCCCAGCUAAAGUCCUGGGCAUCCCAGGGGGCAGAGGGGCAGCCGUACCCACUGCGGGUAGCGGGAUGGAGAUGGGCCCCAGCUUAGCUAGCCUUUUGACAAGCUCCUGUGCUCAUUAUCAAUAAAACAAUUUUACCCGUG